CCUUAAGUCAGAAAGAUGAGAUAAACAGGAUGGCCAUUAAAACACAAAAACACACGCUAUCACCAACUGUGUGAAGAUCAGCAUCAGAUUAAAUCCAGUUCAGUGAGUAGUGUUUAUGCAUCUCUCAGCCAGACAGGAUGUUCUACUGAUGUUUCAGACUGGGCUCCUGCUGAGCAGUGUGUAGCACAGGGAUUGCAUCUCACCGUGCAAGAGAAGCUACCACAAAGAGGGAAAGCCACAUCCAGUCUCUGAAGAGCUACAUGUUACUUCAGCCUCUUGUUGGGGACUUCUUGUUCAAGCGGAGUUUCUACGAUGCCUGAUUCAGCAGCGUUCUGGGAUCCUUCUCUGCAGAACUUAGUCUUCCAAGUCAGAUGUUCAAUGCCCAGGAGAAGACUUGGAAAACCAGAAGGAUUCUGAUUUCAGUCAUCUGGCUUCUGCUAUGAGAAAACGCCUCCCCUAAAGCCAUCUCUUAAAAG